GGGCCCCAGAAAUAGCUGCUCAUCCAUCAGGGCUCCAUAACCAGCAGAAAAGGCUGUCCUGGGACAAGUUGGAUCAUCUGAUGAAUGAGGAACAGCAGCUGCUUUGGCAAGAGAAUGAGAGGCUCCAGACCGUGGUACAGAACACCAAAGCCGAACUCACGCACUCCCGGGAGAAGGUCCGUCAAUUGGAAUCCAAUCUUCUUCCCAAGCACCAAAAACAUCUAAACCCAUCAGGUACCAUGAAACCCACAGAGCAAGAAAAAUUGAGCUUAAAGAGAGAGUGUGAUCAGUUUCAGAAAGAACAAUCUCCUGCUAACAGGAAGGUCAGUCAGAUGAAUUCCCUUGAACAAGAAUUAGAAACAAUUCAUUUGGAAAAUGAAGGCCUGAAAAAGAAACAAGUAAAACUGGAUGAGCAGCUCAUGGAGGUA
rnacentral:lncRNA from 1 species